CGCCAGACUCCUACGGGAGGCAGCAGUGAGGAAUAUUGGUCAAUGGCCGGGAGGCUGAACCAGCCAAGUCGCGUGAGGGAAGACGGCCCUACGGGUUGUAAACCUCUUUUGUCAGGGAGCAAGGUGCAGGUCGGGACCUGCUGUGAGAGUACCUGAAGAAAAAGCAUCGGCUAACUCCGUGCCAGCAGCCGCGGUAAUACGGAGGAUGCGAGCGUUAUCCGGAUUUAUUGGGUUUAAAGGGUGCGUAGGCGGACGCUUAAGUCAGCGGUAAAAUUGCGGGGCUCAACCUCGUCGAGCCGUUGAAACUGGGUGCCUUGAGUGGGCGAGAAGUACGCGGAAUGCGUGGUGUAGCGGUGAAAUGCAUAGAUAUCACGCAGAACUCCGAUUGCGAAGGCAGCGUACCGGCGCCCAACUGACGCUGAAGCACGAAGGCGUGGGUAUCGAACAGGAUUAGAUACCCCCGUAU
rnacentral:rRNA from 1 species